rnacentral:lncRNA from 1 species
CAAGACUACAGCACUGGGAGAGGGCUGGCAGUCCCAGUGGUAAACAGUGGACCAGUAGCAUUAACCAGGAACAACCCACGUGAUGCUGGGAAUCAAGUCCACAAAAGAAGGCUGAACACUAAGAAGAUCUUCACACAAAAGUAGAAGUCCAUCCAAUAGAUGCAACGAUAUCUACAUAGAAACAGAGGUAUGAAUAAACAAGGCAACAUGCUCCUUUCAUAAGUUUGUAACUAACAAGUAACUGAAUACAAAAAUAUGGAAGUGGAUGAGAUGCUAAAGAAAAACAACUGAUGUCAAAAAAGAUAUAAUUAAGCAGCUGAAUUAAUUAAGAAACAAUGCAGGAUAUGAAGGAGCAA